UACAGAGGGUGCGAGCGUUAAUCGGAAUUACUGGGCGUAAAGCGUGCGUAGACGGUUUCGUAAGUCGGGUGUGAAAGCCCCGGGCUCAACCUGGGAAUUGCAUUCGAAACUGCAAGGCUAGGGUACGGAAGAGGGAAGCGGAAUUUCUGGUGUAGCGGUGAAAUGCGUAGAUAUCAGAAGGAACAUCAGUGGCGAAAGCGACUUCCUGGACCAAUACUGACGCUCAGGUGCGAAAGCGUGGGGAGCAAACAGG
rnacentral:rRNA from 1 species